rnacentral:tRNA from 1 species
GUCAGGAUGGCCGAGCGGUCUAAGGCGCCAGACUCAAGGUUAUUACCUUAUCAGUUUUCAAAUAUCUGAUCCCAAUGUGCCUUCUGGUCUCCAUCUGGAGGCGUGGGUUCGAAUCCCACUCCUGACA